AGAGUUUGAUCAUGGCUCAGAUUGAACGCUGGCGGCAGGCUUAACACAUGCAAGUCGAACGGUAACAGGGAAUAGCUUGCUAUUUUGCUGACGAGUGGCGGACGGGUGAGUAAUGCUUGGGAAUUUACCGAAAGGUGGGGGACAACAGUUGGAAACGACUGCUAAUACCGCAUAAUGUCUACGGACCAAAGGUGGCCUCUAUUUAUAUGCUAUCGCUUUUCGAUGAGCCCAAGUGGGAUUAGCUAGUUGGUAAGGUAAUGGCUUACCAAGGCGACGAUCCCUAGCUGGUCUUAGAGGAUGACCAGCCACACUGGAACUGAGACACGGUCCAGACUCCUACGGGAGGCAGCAGUGGGGAAUAUUGCACAAUGGGGGAAACCCUGAUGCAGCCAUGCCGCGUGUGUGAAGAAGGCUUUCGGGUUGUAAAGCACUUUCAGCGAGGAGGAAAGGGUAGUUAUUAAUACUGACUAUCUGUGACGUUACUCGCAGAAGAAGCACCGGCUAACUCCGUGCCAGCAGCCGCGGUAAUACGGAGGGUGCAAGCGUUAAUCGGAAUUACUGGGCGUAAAGCGCGCGUAGGUGGUUAAUUAAGUCAGAUGUGAAAGCCCAGGGCUCAACCUUGGAACUGCAUUUGAAACUGGUUAACUAGAGUUUUGUAGAGGGUGGUAGAAUUUCAGGUGUAGCGGUGAAAUGCGUAGAGAUCUGAAGGAAUACCAGUGGCGAAGGCGGCCACCUGGACAGUAACUGACACUGAGGCGCGAAGGCGUGGGGAGCAAACGGGAUUAGAUACCCCGGUAGUCCACGCAGUAAACGAUGUCUAUUAGAAGUUUGUGGCUAUAUGCCGUGGGUUUCAAAGCUAACGCAUUAAAUAGACCGCCUGGGGAGUACGGCCGCAAGGUUAAAACUCAAAUGAAUUGACGGGGGCCCGCACAAGCGGUGGAGCAUGUGGUUUAAUUCGAUGCAACGCGAAGAACCUUACCAUCCCUUGACAUCCAGAGAAUCACCUAGAGAUAGAUGAGUGCCUUCGGGAGCUCUGAGACAGGUGCUGCAUGGCUGUCGUCAGCUCGUGUUGUGAAAUGUUGGGUUAAGUCCCGCAACGAGCGCAACCCUUAUCCUUAGUUGCCAGCACGUAAUGGUGGGAACUCUAGGGAGACUGCCGGUGAUAAACCGGAGGAAGGUGGGGACGACGUCAAGUCAUCAUGGCCCUUACGGGAUGGGCUACACACGUGCUACAAUGGCAGAUACAAAGGGUUGCUAACCUGCGAGGGUAUGCGAAUCUCAUAAAGUCUGUCGUAGUCCGGAUCGGAGUCUGCAACUCGACUCCGUGAAGUUGGAAUCGCUAGUAAUCGUGGAUCAGAAUGCCACGGUGAAUACGUUCCCGGGCCUUGUACACACCGCCCGUCACACCAUGGGAGUGGGCUGCACCAGAAGUCAUUAGCUUAACCUUCGGGAUGGCGAUGACCACGGUGUGGUUCAUGACUGGGGUGAAGUCGUAACAAGGUA
rnacentral:rRNA from 1 species